AUUGAACGCUGGCGGCAGGCCUAACACAUGCAAGUCGAGCGGAGCGGCGGACGGGUGAGUAAUGCCUAGGAAUCUGCCUGUUAGUGGGGGAUAGCGUCCGGAAACGGGCGCUAUUCUAGCAUACUAUCACAUGAGCCUAGGUCGGAUUGGCUAGUUGGGGGGGUAAAGGCCUACCAAGGCGCCGAUCCGUAACUGGUCUGAGAGGAUGAUCAGUCACACUGGAACUGAGACACGGUCCAGACUCCUACGGGAGGCAGCAGUGGGGAAUAUUGGACAAUGGGCGAAAGCCUGAUCCAGCCAUGCCGCGUGUAUGAUGAAGGCCUUCGGGUUGUAAAGUACUUUUGGCAGAGAAGCGGUAUCUGCAGAAUAAGCACCGGCUAACUACGUGCCAGCAGCCGCGGUAAUAC
rnacentral:rRNA from 1 species